rfam:Camelus ferus unplaced genomic scaffold scaffold2439, whole genome shotgun sequence.
CAUAAGGUCUUUCUUAAGACCACUGAAAAAAUCAUGGGGCACAUAU